rnacentral:snRNA from 1 species
GGGCAUAUGAUCUGUCUGGCUAGGCGGGUGUCCCCUUCCUCUCUCACCGCUCCAUGUAUGUCCCUCCCAAACCCUUGCUUUUGGUCGAAGAGGACGGCCUUCCCUGAAUAGAGAUGGACCAGUCUUCGGUCGAGGGUAUAUGAGUAGCUGCGCUCCCCUGCUAGAACCUCCAAACAAGCUCUCAACUGGGCAUAUAGCUGCCUGGGUUGAUAACAAGGUGUGAGGCAUUGGGGAAGCCUGUGAACUCAGUGUCAUGCUUUAAAUCAUGAGGCUGUCAGG